CUACGGGACGCUCCAGUGGGGAAUAUUGGACAAUGGGCGCAAGCCUGAUCCAGCCACGCCGCGUGAAGGAAGAAGGUUUUCGGAUCGUAAACUUCUGUUGAGAGGGAAGAAAGGGCUAUGAAGAAUAGCAGAUGACGGUACCUCUUUAGAAAGCACCGGCUAACUCCGUGCCAGCAGCCGCGGUAAUACGGAGGGUGCAAACGUUGCUCGGAAUCACUGGGCGUAAAGAGCUUGUAGGUUGUUGAACAAGUUAGGUGUGAAAUCCCCGGGCUUAACCUGGGAACUGCGCUUAAAACUGUUCGGCUUGAGUUAGGUAGAGGAUAGUGGAAUUCCCGGUGUAGAGGUGACAUUCGUAGAUAUCGGGAGGAACAUCUGAGGCGAAGGCGGCUAUCUGGGCCUAUACUGACGCUUAAGAGCGAAAGCGUGGGGAGCAAACAGGAUUAGAUACCCCGGUAGUC
rnacentral:rRNA from 1 species